CCGAGUCUAAAAGCUUAUAUUCUCUUUCUUCCUCAUUGAUCGCCUUUCUUCUCUCCCGCAUGAACACAAGAUUAUUGCUUCUCUGUUUUUCUUUUCGUCGAUUCUCCUUUCUGUGUGACGUGGGUUACCAUAAUAUAGAUUUAUAUGUGUUUCAGUUGAAUCGGAAAGACCUCAUUGAGAGGAAUAGAAGAGGAAGUUGAAUCAGAAAGACGAUUGAGAGGAAAGGAAGAAGAAUGUAAACAUAUAGAAAACUUUGAUCAUCCUGUCUAUGGCUCAAUGCUUGAUGUCUUUCUGAAGGGUGUGUAGAAAAUUCGUGUAGAGUUGCCAGAUGCGUAUCCAUACAAGUCUAUAAAAUUUCAUCUCAAUGUUAAUGAUUUGUGAGCAAACUUACAAAUGCAUCCAAUGUCCAAUGGGUAUAUUGUUACAAACAGCUAAAGUCUUCAAGGAUAGAAUUGUCGGACUCUUCCAUUUGAUUCAAUUGAGCCCGUGACAUUGAAAAGCAUUUUGAGCCCUAUGUUAAGUAAGAUGUGUGGCAGGGUGUCUCUGUUGAAUGACAUCAGUAUGAGAGCGAGCAAGGUGGUAGGGACCAUCAAGCAACAGGGAUCGAAGCCAGACCAUGGGCGAUAUCCAGGGUAAUAAGGAUAAGCAAAGCGGCAGAAAUACCACUCGCUCACCAGUUUGCUGCUAAUUCAAUGGUUGUUCACCAAUUCGUCGCUCACCUAUUUGUCGUACCCGUUCCCCUGCUGGUAGUUCAACCGUUCAUCGAUAGCUUGCUAGACGCUUACCAGUUUUUUGUUCAGCUUAUACUCGCUCAUUUGUUCCCUACUCGCUCAUUUGUUCCCCAUUCUCUAUUUGUUCACUUUCGAAGCUCAACAUUCCUGGGAAAACCAAGGCCUCCGGCCUGCAAUUUGUGGAGUGUAAGAUUGAAAGUCACCCUUCGGGAGACGUCUUACUGGGUGCAGACUGUAACAUUAAAGAGUAUGUGAAUGGCCCGUCGGCCAUCGUAGUCGCGGAUGAGUCGACCUUUGUGAAGAAAUGUCAAGGAGCAUACCUUAAUCUUGAUGUACCCGAACUUCAAAGAAUGCGAGAGAGUUGGCUAUGCACUCAUCUUGGUCUAUUAAGGCAAUUGCACGGUAGGACUUAGCCAAUGUGUCUUCCCGGCUUUAUCCAGGUGGGAUCUACUUUGGUGCAAUACUAGAUGCCAAUGGUAUCAGAGAAGGUAUUUACCCUCUGCGGAACUUAUAUACUGCUGUUUAUAAUAAGUGAAUUUAUGGAUUCAUAUUUCCUUUGGUUUUAGCUUAGUAGGGUAUCAUUAAAAACCUCAAAGAACGUUAUAUACUGCUGUUUACAAUAAUUGGAUUUACGGACUCAUAUUUCCUUUGGUUUUAUCUUAUUACGUUUUACGAUGCCUUUAUUAGUUCCUUACACAUGCUACUAGAAGCUUAUUGUUUGCUUACAUUGCGUCUCAACUUAAUAUGAUGACAUGAGUGAUUACAAUUUCGUUAAUCACAUCUUUGAUUAUUGCGUAAUCUUGGUUCAGGCACUGUUUGGCUGUACUGACACAUUACAUACUUUAAAUUGUUUUACCAAUAUCCAUCUUACCUCAAAGGUAUUGUUUGCAUUACAUUGUUACUUCUUUUACAGUGACAUAUACUUUUUUUUUUUACAAUGACAUAUUUUACUGAACCUUCCUCAUCAGUUUGGAAGUCAUGGUUAUAGACCAUGUAACAUGAUCUGUUACAAAUCUGAUCUGAAGAUUAACGUAAAACACUCAAAUGUCAAGGCAUGGAAAUCUGAAGUGUCAGUUUUUGUUGUUGAAUGGAAGGUAUCUUUGCUGCUCCAAAAUACCACUGCCAACACGGAUCCAUCUGUUCUUUUUAUUUCUCUAUUUUGUUUUCAGUAACGACAAUACCUCAACUUUUACAUACACUGUACCUAUAUACUUUUCGGUCCAUUGUUGUGAUUGGUAACUUUUGGGUGCUUAGAAGGUUUCACAUUAAUGUAUAAGAUGACCUUGGACUUGAUCACCUUAAAAGCGUGUAUGAAUCAUUUCUUGCUAAUUAAGAAGAUGAUACUUUUUUAAAUUAGAAAGGAGAAGUCAACCUAAUGGUAGUAGCUGUAUUAGGAGCAAUAUUGGAAAAUGUAGUUAGGCUCUUCUUGAAAGAAGAAGUCCAAUCAUUUAGAUGGACUUGAAAUCAAUGGUUUGGAAGGGGCAGGUAAAACGAUUAUACCUAAUUCUUAAUGUAAAGCAUUACUCAGCCAAUGUUUGAAACAGAGAAAGCUAGAAUUUAUCAUGAAUUUUUUGUUAGUGAACAUGUCUGCCACAGAACCUGUUUCAGAAGUGAUUCCACUCAGGUGCAUGUAAUAAUGCACAAACUGUAGAUGUUUAGGAUUAUGAUCCAAUGCCUUCUAAAAUGCUGACGAUCAUAUUUUGUAAAUAGUGUAUUUUACCCAAUAUUUCAGUGAGCCUGUGACAUACUCAUCUUAGUUAUAGGCCAAAAUGAGGAUAAAAUUUCUACUCUUUCCAAUCUUGAGAAAAUGUUAAUAGGUAAUGUUUUUUCCGUAUGCUUGCAUAUGUUUAAGCUUAUUUUGAUCUCUUUUCUUAGAUACAAUGAUCGUAUGUACGGGUUAAGACUGGAAUAAUUAGUUCUUCUGAUAGUGAGUUGUACUUUAAAAUGACUUCAAUUUUACUUCGUAGAUGAGUAAGAUCUUUGUUUUUGUCGAGUGAUUGGUCGAGGUCAAUCCAUCAGAGAUGCUGAACUUUAGGCGAUGCUACCAAUAGCUUGGAGCUUCGGUUUUCGGUACUUAUCGUCGUCUGACUCUAGCUAGGAAAACAUAGUUCUAUAUAGUAUUUUCUAAUGUAUUUUUGAAGAUUGAAUCACUUCCGCUGGAAAUUUAAGGAACCUUUAGGGCUUUGUAUGUACCUACAUCAAAAAAUAUUUAUAACUCUUUCUUCCAAUUGUGUUUGGCCAUUUCUAUUGGGUGGCAGUACCAGUGUACUAUAAAAAAUCUGCCAUCUUGGAAGGAGAAGACUUGAAGAUAACGGGAUUGCAUUCUCCUUUUUAGAAAGACUUUGCCGCCAGAAUAAUUUCUUAUCAGCGACUUUGGGUGCUCCCUGAAGAGAAAGAUGACUUUUGCAGGAUUCAAUAUACGCAUCUGCCAACACUGUUAAACCUAUCGACAUGGCCGGAAGUAUCAUGCCCGUUUGCUUUGUAUGCUGGGCUUGGACUGUAAUUGAAGAAAUCUAGAAAAAUUACUUUUUCGUGAGGACAAUGAGCUGCAAAGCAUCUGAUCAGGGACCACUCUCAAGCAUGUGGAAUAAGCUUAAUCCCAAGGUAUUUAAGUGUCCACUUAUUAUUGAGUCUUAGUUGUAAGUCGGUGAGUUGCACAGCUUUUGCUAAGAUGUUGAGCAAAUAAGACAGGGUCCAAAUUGUUAACAUUUUCUUGGCUACAAGCUCUUUCAAGGUGGUUGAAUCAGCUUUCAGGAGUUCCACAAUGUACUUUGUAAAAGGUGGAAGGUUGGCUAUUCAGGACUUUGUUUCCUGAGAUGAAUGCUUACGUGUGUUAACAAGUAAGCCGAAGGUAAGUCCUCUGCUCGAUAUCCCUUUGUGCCUUUGAACCAUUUGCACGCAAGUGUCAUUAUAUUAAACCCCACUUGCUAUCUUACCUCAAAUGGAAGAGCGCAUGGUUCUCAACCAUGUAGAUGUGGAUUCGACUCCCACGGAUGGCACGGUUCGUUAAGUAGGCUAAAACUUUACAUGCUUCCGAUGGCAAUAUUAUGCAGUAAACAUGCUUAAAUUCAAACAUAUAUCUUGGUAAUCAUAGCAAACGAACGCCAACAAUUUUAGAAGUAGCAAAUAUAGAAUCUUCGCUUCAUUUUUCAAUAAUGAAUUGCGAAUGAAAUAUUCCAGCCCACAAUUGUCCAAUAAAUCUUACAUGUUGCAUUAAGGUAAAAUUACUAAUUUUAGCCCUUUCCUGAAAUUGAAAAAUGAGAUGCUUCUGUAGGAAUACGUAUACAGUAUACCAAUAUUUUUUAGUGUUUUGCUCUCAGGUGGUAACAAGAAAAGGUCAUGGAUCUUGAGACAAACAUGUCGGUCUAAGAUAAAUAUCUCCAACAGACUUUAUAUUAAAUACACACUUAACAUAAGUAUAUUUCCAUGCCAACAUUUGAAACGCAUGUGCCAAUUUGUGCGGUAUUGGUGCGGCUUAUAAAAUGUUGAAAUUUGUAUACAUCAUCCCUUAAUUACACAAAUUGAAUGAAAAAAAAACACCAAACUAAAAUCAUACCUUGAUCCAUAAUUAUGCAUUUAGAAAAACAUGGUAAGAUAUUAAUAGGAUAGGGUUGGUUGCGAUUUUAUACCUUUUUAUUAUUAUAAUUAUAAUUUUAAUAUUUUUUUAAUGAAUGGACAUAGGUCAAGGGUAAUUAAGUGUUAAAUCCUACCGGCUGAAUUCGGGGUUCAUUUUGGCUAAUCAUGGUUUAGAUGGAAAAACGAUGGAAGUAUAACAAGCAUCAGGGGUACUUUCUUUGAAGUAUCUUUAUUAGAGGUGAUUAAUAACCAAAAAUGUGUGAAUUGACUUAUCAUGUGAAAGGGGUAAAAAUAAAAUAAACUACGCUAGACUUGAUGAAGUGGAAGAGUAUGUUAGGAAAGUUAAAAAAAAUGUGGGGUUUCCCUGGAUUUUGUGUUACAAUACAUGGAUCAGAAAUGAUUAACUCACCGAAAAUAAAAAACUGUGAGAAUCACCGUGUGAGAGGGAUGGUGGGGCCCACUCGUACCCUACCCACAGAACGCUUAGUUGUGUCCGUGCGAUUCCCUUUCGGUGAAAUUGACGGUGUAGAAUUCGGUGAGUGUAUAGUCGUUCUAUAUGGAUUGGUUGGUACAUCAAAGAAGCUCCUAGGCUGAGAUGAUCUCUCUUGCCAUUUAGGACAACGGUUUAUCCCCAUUAAGUAAUGAGCGGAAGUUCAUUCAGAUUCUAUAGGCUGUUUUGCGGGAGCUUAAAUUUAUGCUCUUGACGAGGUUAUUUGAAGUUCAUUUCAUUAACUACUUUAAAAGAGAUAGUGUAAAUGGGUAUUGAAGCUUUUGGUGGGAAGAAGAAUAAAGAAAGCUUCCAAGGUGUGCUAGAAAUCUAGAAUAUAAGUAUUGGAGGAGUUUGCAAAACAGGGAAUACUAAACAUGCAAUGACUAAAUUAAUUUAUUAGAGUAGAUUGUUUCUUGAUGAGAUUACACUCAUUCCAUCGAUUCAUGGGUGCUACAUGAUAUGUGAUUUGGGAAAGGUAUUCCAGUUCUAAAACAUGUAGUGUUCCAAAUCAUAUUAGAAAUACUUCUUCAUGGGAGUGUGAGCAGAGCAUAUGUAAACAGGGUUGUGAGGCUCCCUCAUGUACACGUUGUUCUUAAGAGAGAGAGAUGUUAGUCCUAUUUUGCAGAGCACCUGUACUAGAAGGAGGCCAAACCGAAACUCAACGUGUCCUCGGAACUACAAGUCCUGGCACGGAUGGGGAUCAGAAUUUUGUGAAAAACAUAAUUCACAAAAAUUAUGGUUAAUUUGAUAUAUAUAUAUAUAUAAAGAAAAAAAUUAUGGUUAAUUUGAUUAGCGUCAUUUUCUCCGCAAACUCAAACAACGAUGAAUUUCAUAUUUUGAUGAUACGUUCCUCUUAUAAGACUCUACAUUCCUAGAAAAAAUGAACACAAUUCGAAAUACCAAAUCUCACCAUCUACCGAUCUUAAUUUCAAUCGUUAACUUUUAAUGGAUGGUAUUCAAAGGGGUAGAUGGUGGUGUUAUAUGUCUCGAAUUGUACUCAUUUUUGGGAGGAAUGUAGAGUCUCAUAAGAGAAACGUAUCAUCAAAAUUAUAGAUUUAAAUUCAUUGUUGUUUGGGUUGUGCCGAAAAAAUGAUGCAAAUCAUAUAUAAUAGUGUCCAUCUAAGAGUGUCCCUGGAUCAUCCCUCUAUGUAUACCUAUAUACAUAUAUAAAGAAAAACAAUGAAAAAUUUAAUUAAUAUUUCUAUUUUAGUAAGUAUAUAAGUUGCAUGUCAUGAAGAUUAUAUGAACUAUUAAUAAUUACUUGGAUUUGGGAUAAUAUGAACUAUUAAUAAUUGCUUCUAGAAUUUAUUCAAGUAUAUUGUUCUACCCUCAUGUUUUUAGUUGGAUGUCAUUUUCUAUAUUAUUCUUGACAGGCUAACAUAUACAUCGAGUAGUUUAUGAUGUAGCCGAUGAUUGAGUUGGACUCAUUAGAAGCUAUCAGCGGUAGGUCUUUGGAAAAGGGAAGAUGAUCUACUACUCUAUAAGUCAUGAUACUAUUGAUCCAGUUUUCUUUUGGACGUAUCUUUAUUUCAUUUUAGCUGAGCGAGCGCAUUCCGAGAAAGAGUCUCAACUAUGAAGAUGUACAAUAAGAGUAAAGGGAGAAACGAGAAAUUAGAUGUAUUUUGCUUUGUGGUAUUAAAGUUGGAUUAUCAGAUGGCUAAUAAACUCAACAAUGGUUGGUUGGUUGGAGACAUAUACGCCAACUAAUGUAUGUAAAAUAGAACACAUAACAAUUUGAUAUGGAGCCUACAUAUUUAGUUGCUAACACGUCCCUUAUACAAAACGUCCAAACUAAUAUUUAGUAUUAUUAAGUUUACCAUUAUUUUUUAAUCUUUACUUAUGUAUUUAUAUGUGCUAGAGAUCAAUCACAUGCAUAUCCAUUUCUAUACAUAUUAAUUGCCGACUAAGUUUUCACGUUGAACGAUUUGGAUGUUUGCAUUUGAACAGAUGAUAACAAUUUAGAUACAUAAAUUGUGGACACCACCAAAAAAAUCAGAUAGUUAAUUACUGUGAACAUAUAUAGGUGUAUGUCCAUAUCAUAAAGCAAUGGAUAUCACAUGUUCAUAUGAUGGAUCAUUAGAUAGAUUGGUGAAACACAUACUAAAAAAAUAUAAAAUUAGGUCUCAGUAGUAAUUUUAAUUAGUUUGCAAAUGUUAAACAAGAUUUAACUUUAACUGUUAUGUAUUUAACUUUAAAUAAUAGGUCAUACUCAUCAUAUGAAAAAUUCUAAGCAUAUAAGGUGAUAUUUCAGAUAAUGUAAUAAUACGACUUGGGCGGUUAUGGUAACGAAAGACAGGGUUUACGACUGCAUAUAAACAUGACAAAGCUAAGAAAUAACAAUCUUAUUAAGUUAGAAAACAUAAACAAAUAUUGAGAAAAUGUAGAUUUUAAUCUUUAUCUCAUCUAAACGUUAGAUAUUUAAGAGGGUGGUUUAGAGUCAAAGAACAUAAUAAGCAAUACAUAAAUAAAUAUAUAAAACAAAAUCAGGAAAAUGAAAUUUGAUAGGAAAUAAAAGAGAAUCGAGUUAAAGGAGGCCAAAAACGACCAACCGAGCUAGAGGAUACUAAAGAACAAGGCCAACCAAGUUAAAGGAGGCCAAAAAAUUGUUAAAUAAAUUGGAAGAGGGGCUUGAUACUCAAUCAUGUAAUGGAAACACAUGAUAAACUUA